ensembl:lncRNA
GUUAGGAAGUUUGCCUGGUGUUCCCUACCCGCUUUCACUGGAGUCUGUGUUGUUCAGUCGUGUCCGACUCUCUUGCUACCUCAUGGAGCUCAGCAGGCUCCUCUGUCCAUGGGAUUUUCCAGGCAAGAAUACUGGAGUGGGUUGCCAUUUCCUCCUCCAAGGGAUUUUCCCGACCUAAGGAUCCACGCAGGUGUCCCGCAUUGCAAGCAGAUUCAGUGGGGUCUGACUUAUGCUAAAUCUGCUCUCAAGAGAAGCACUAACAACUUGUAUUUUCCCACCGUUACCUGAAAGAUAUACCAAUUAUUGUUUUGUUUCUCUCAGGCGUUCUCUUACUGUGGCUCUGAGAGGUUUAUCCAUAGUGGGGGGAAAAUACAAAGAUUUAAUAGCCCUGAGCCUUAGUUUUUACAUCUGUAAAAUGGGGCUUCCAUACCAGCAAGGGAAGAGUUGCUGCUGCUGCUGCUGCUAACUCGCUUCAGUCGUAUCCGACUCUGUGCGACCCCAGAGACGGCAGCCCACCAGGCCCCGCCUUCCCUGGGAUUCUCCAGGCAAGAACACUGGAGUGGGUUGCCAUUUCCUCCUCCAAUACAUGAAAGUGAAAAGUGAAAGUGAAGUCGCUCAGUCGUGUCCAACUUUUAGCGAUUCCAUGGACUGCAGCCCACCAGGCUCCUCCGUUCAUGGGAUUUUCCAGGCAAGAGUACUGGAGUGGGGGAAGAGUAGGGAAGGAGAAAUGCAGUGGUCGAGGCAGACCCUGAGCUGGCCUUACCUUGGGUGUUUACCAGUGCCUUCUAUUGCCCAAGGCUAUCUGGAAAUCUGAGGACAAGAGAGCUGAGUGAUGCAAGCCCAGAUCAACCUCCAAGGGCACAGAGGAGGACAGAGAAGACUGGAAACUGAUCUAGGGUUAUAGUGUCCAAUACAACCACCACUAGGCUCAUGCUUAUUUGAGUCCGAAUUGACAUGUACUAUAAAUGUAAACAUACUUUAAAAAUACUUCCUGGAUUUCAAAACCUUGGUAUUCAAAAAGAAGGUGAAGAUCUUAUUAGUUUUUAUACUGAUUACAUGUUGAAGUGAUGAUGUUUUUAUGUAUUGGGUUAAAUCAACUAUAUUAUUACAAUAAAAUUCAUCUGUUUCUUUAUACAUUUUGACUGUGGCUACUAGAACACUUAAAAUUAAGUGUGUGGCUCACAUUGUAUCUGUUGGAUUGUAUUGAUCUACAUGGACAAGUGGAAAAUAACCACACAUGACAACAAAUAAUCAUUUAAAAACUCAAUUUAAUUCUAUAUCCUAGACAACUAUAUGAAAAUAGUGUUUCUGCAAAUCACAUAGUUUAAAAUUUUUUAAACCUAAUUGCCUUGAUCCUUUGACAUAUGGCCCUUCUAUGUAUUUUUAUAUUAUUCCCUGAACCAGUUUUGUUUUUUUUUAGGUUACAUCACACAGCAUGUGGGAUC